CAGUCGCCGCGGGAAUACGUAGGGUGCAAGCGUUAAUCGGAAUUACUGGGCGUAAAGGGCGUGUAGGCGGCCUGGGGCGUCCCAUGUGAAAGGCCACGGCUCAACCGUGGAGGAGCGUGGGAUACGCUCAGGCUAGAGGGUGGGAGAGGGUGGUGGAAUUCCCGGAGUAGCGGUGAAAUGCGCAGAUACCGGGAGGAACGCCGAUGGCGAAGGCAGCCACCUGGUCCACUUCUGACGCUGAGGCGCGAAAGCGUGGGGAGCAGACAGGAUUAGAUACCCGAGUAGUCCCUGUCUCUUAUAC
rnacentral:rRNA from 1 species